rnacentral:rRNA from 1 species
AGAGUUUGAUUAUGGCUCAGGAUGAACGCUGGCGGCGUGCCUAACACAUGCAAGUCGAGCGAUUCUCUUCGGAGAAGAGCGGCGGACGGGUGAGUAACGCGUGGGUAACCUGCCCCAUACACAUGGAUAACAUACCGAAAGGUAUGCUAAUACAGGAUAACAUAAGAGAUUCACAUGGAUUUCUUAUCAAAGCUCCGGCGGUAUGAGAUGGACCCGCGUCUGAUUAGCUAGUUGGUAAGGUAACGGCUUACCAAGGCGACGAUCAGUAGCCGACCUGAGAGGGUGAUCGGCCACAUUGGAACUGAGACACGGUCCAAACUCCUACGGGAGGCAGCAGUGGGGAAUAUUGCACAAUGGGCGAAAGCCUGAUGCCAGCAACGCCGCGUGAGUGAUGAAGGCCUUCGGGUCGUAAAACUCUGUCCUCAAGGAAGAUAAUGACGGUACUUGAGGAGGAAGCCCCGGCUAACUACGUGCCAGCAGCGGC